CUACGGGCGGCAGCAGUGGGGAAUAUUGCACAAUGGGCGCAAGCCUGAUGCAGCCGUGCCGCGUGUAUGAAGAAGGCCUUCGGGUUGUAAAGUACUUUCAGCGGGGAGGAAGGGAGUAAAGAUAAUACCUUUGCUCAUUGACGUUACCCGCAGAAGAAGCACCGGCUAACUCCGUGCCAGCAGCCGCGGUAAUACGGAGGGUGCAAGCGUUAAUCGGAAUUACUGGGCGUAAAGCGCACGCAGGCGGUUUGUUAAGUCAGAUGUGAAAUCCCCGGGCUCAACCUGGGAACUGCAUCUGAUACUGGCAAGCUUGAGUCUCGUAGAGGGGGGUAGAAUUCCAGGUGUAGCGGUGAAAUGCGUAGAGAUCUGGAGGAAUACCGGUGGCGAAGGCGGCCCCCUGGACGAAGACUGACGCUCAGGUGCGAAAGCGUGGGGAGCAAACAGGAUUAGAUACCCUAGUAGUC
rnacentral:rRNA from 1 species